ACUCAAAUGAAUUGACGGGGGCCCGCACAAGCGGAGGAGCAUGUGGUUUAAUUCGAUGAUACGCGAGGAACCUUACCAGGGCUUAAAUGGGAGACGACAGGACUGGAAACAGUUUUUUCUUCGGACGUCUUUCAAGGUGCUGCAUGGUUGUCGUCAGCUCGUGCCGUGAGGUGUCAGGUUAAGUCCUAUAACGAGCGCAACCCCUAUUGUUAGUUGCCAGCGGGUCAUGCCGGGAACUCUAACAAGACUGCCGGUGCAAACCGUGAGGAAGGUGGGGAUGACGUCAAAUCAUCACGGCCCUUACGUCCUGGGCUACACACGUGCUACAAUGGGCGGUACAGAGAGCAGCCACUACGCAAGUAGGCGCGAAUCUUCAAAACCGUUCUCAGUUCGGAUCGGAGUCUGCAACUCGACUCCGUGAAGCUGGAUUCGCUAGUAAUCGCAUAUCAGCCAUGAUGCGGUGAAUACGUUCCCGGGCCUUGUACACACCGCCCGU
rnacentral:rRNA from 1 species